rnacentral:rRNA from 1 species
UACGUAGGGGGCAAGCGUUAUCCGGAUUUACUGGGUGUAAAGGGAGCGCAGACGGCAGUGCAAGUCUGGAGUGAAAGCCCGGGGCCCAACCCCGGGACUGCUCUGGAAACUGUACGGCUAGAGUACGGGAGGGGCAGGCGGAAUUCCUAGUGUAGCGGCGAAAUGCGUAGAUAUUAGGAGGAACACCGGCGGCGAAGGCGGCCUGCUGGACCGAAACUGACGUUGAGGCUCGAAAGCGUGGGGAGCAAACAGG